CAUGCCGUAAACGAUGUCUACUAGCCGUUGGGGCCUUUGAGGCUUUAGUGGCGCAGCUAACGCGAUAAGUAGACCGCCUGGGGAGUACGGUCGCAAGACUAAAACUCAAAUGAAUUGACGGGGGCCCGCACAAGCGGUGGAGCAUGUGGUUUAAUUCGAUGCAACGCGAAGAACCUUACCUGGUCUUGACAUAGUAAGAACUUUCCAGAGAUGGAUUGGUGCCUUCGGGAACUUACAUACAGGUGC
rnacentral:rRNA from 2 species